AAUGGGCAAGGAGGAGCUGUGCAACAUUCCUUCGUGUGAGGUGCAAGAUUGAGCUUGGCUGGGCACUACAGUGUGAGCUGAGCAUCUCAGAGGGGAGACAGAAAAGGAGAGGAGAACCAGCAGAGCCGCAGACUCCAAGAACAUACAUUUAAAAGUGACAAGCAGCACACCGUAAUCUGGCUCCUUGCCGUGGAGAACAGAGUGAGUCAUGGAUAAUGCCGGUAACAAGUGCCAUUCACUGGCCCCCCCAAAGCAUGUGAAAAGCAGAUCCAAGUCUAUAGACGAGAGCCAGCAAGCCAAGAAGGCCUUUUAUACGCAGAAGUCCCUGCCCGGAAAGCCGGAGCUGCAGAAACUCCACGAAGUCCACGAAAGCACAGAAACACCUACAUCUUCGUCAGAGGAACUGAAAUAAUCCACAGUCUGAAGGGAUUGUAAGCUUUUUGCGAGCGAUGGAAUUGAUGCAGGCUUUACACAGAUGUUUAACAUAACCGUCCUAAUUGUUUUGCACAGAUGUGAGGGAAAUGGGUGAUUUUCUCAGAGGUUAACUGGAAUGCUGUUGAAAGUCAGCUGUAAAUGUGUGUGAAUGUGCUUUUGUUUCCAGCCUAAAGAGAAAAUAAAAUACUGAUUAAAUUAAA